rnacentral:rRNA from 1 species
AAACAACGAUGAAGAGUUUGAUCCUGGCUCAGGAUGAACGCUAGCGGCAGGCUUAACACAUGCAAGUCGAGGGGUAACAGGGAGUGCUUGCACUUUGCUGACGACCGG